rnacentral:rRNA from 2 species
GUGAUAAGAUCCACCGUCGAAAGGGGAACAGCCCAGACCAUCAGUUAAGGUCCCUAAAUGUAUGCUAAGUGGAAAAGGAUGUGGAGUUGCAUAGACAACUAGGAUGUUGGCUCAGAAGCAGCCACCAUUUAAAGAGUGCGUAAUAGCUCACUAGUCGAGUGAUCCUGCGCCGAAAAUGUACCGGGGCUAAGCAUACUACCGAAACCAUGGAUGCGACCAUUAGGUCGCGUGAUAGGAGAGCGUUCUAAGGGCGGUGAAGCAAGAUCGUGAGGACUUGUGGAGCGCUUAGAAGUGAGAAUGCCGGUAUGAGUAGCGAAAGAUAGGUGAGAAUCCUAUCCACCGAAUGACUAAGGUUUCCUGGGGAAGGCUCGUCCUCCCAGGGUUAGUCGGGACCUAAGUCGAGGCCGAGAGGCGUAGACGAUGGAUAACAGGUUGAGAUUCCUGUACUAGUUAAGUGCGUUUGAGCAAUGGAGGGACGCAGGAGGCUAAGAUGUGCAUUCUGUUGGAUUAGAAUGUCCAAGCAGUAAGUCUUGUGAAGAGUCAAAUGCUUUUCACUUUAAGGACAAGCUGUGAUGGGGAGCGAAAUUUAGUAGCGAAGCGUCUGAUGUCACACUGCCGAGAAAAGCUUCUAGUGAGUACUUAACUACCCGUACCGCAAACCGACACAGGUAGUCGAGGAGAGAAUCCUAAGGUGAGCGAGUGAACUCUCGUUAAGGAACUCGGCAAAAUGACCCCGUAACUUCGGGAGAAGGGGUGCUGAUCGCAAGAUCAGCCGCAGUGAAUAGGCCCAGGCGACUGUUUAUCAAAAACACAGGUCUCUGCAAAAUCGUAAGAUGACGUAUAGGGGCUGACGCCUGCCCGGUGCUGGAAGGUUAAAAGGAUGGGUUAGCUUCGGCGAAGCUCAGAAUUGAAGCCCCAGUAAACGGCGGCCGUAACUAUAACGGUCCUAAGGUAGCGAAAUUCCUUGUCGGGUAAGUUCCGACCCGCACGAAAGGCGUAACGAUCUGGGCACUGUCUCAACGAGAGACUCGGUGAAAUUAUAUUGUCCGUGAAGAUGCGGACUACCCGCGACAGGACGGAAAGACCCCAUGGAGCUUUACUGUAGCUUGAUAUUGAGUGUUUGUACAGCUUGUACAGGAUAGGUAGGAGCCAUAGAAACCGGAACGCUAGUUUCGGUGGAGGCGUUGGUGGGAUACUACCCUCGCUGUAUGACCACUCUAACCCGCACCACUAAUCGUGGUGGGAGACAGUGUCAGGUGGGCAGUUUGACUGGGGCGGUCGCCUCCUAAAAAGUAACGGAGGCGCCCAAAGGUUCCCUCAGAAUGGUUGGAAAUCAUUCGCAGAGUGUAAAGGCACAAGGGAGCUUGACUGCGAGACAGACAGGUCGAGCAGGGACGAAAGUCGGGCUUAGUGAUCCGGUGGUACCGUAUGGAAGGGCCAUCGCUCAACGGAUAAAAGCUACCCUGGGGAUAACAGGCUUAUCUCCCCCAAGAGUCCACAUCGACGGGGAGGUUUGGCACCUCGAUGUCGGCUCAUCGCAUCCUGGGGCUGUAGUCGGUCCCAAGGGUUGGGCUGUUCGCCCAUUAAAGCGGUACGCGAGCUGGGUUCAGAACGUCGUGAGACAGUUCGGUCCCUAUCCGUCGCGGGCGUAGGAAAUUUGAGAGGACCUGUCCUUAGUACGAGAGGACCGGGAUGGACAUACCUCUGGUGUACCAGUUGUGCCGCCAGGCGCAUCGCUGGGUAGCUACGUAUGGAUGUGAUAAACGCUGAAAGCAUCUAAGUGUGAAACACACCUCGAGAUGAGAUUUCCCAUUCCUUUAUGGAAGUAAGACCCCUGAAAGAUGAUCAGGUAGAUAGGUUAGAAGUGGCAGUGCGGUGACGCAUGAAGCGGACUAAUACUAAUCGGUCGAGGACUUAACCAAG